rnacentral:rRNA from 1 species
UACGUAGGUGGCAAGCGUUGUCCGGAUUUACUGGGCGUAAAGAGCGCGCAGGCGGCUGAUUAAGUCGAAUGUGAAAGCCCCCGGCUCAACUGGGGAGGGUCAUUCGAUACUGAUCAACUUGAAGGCAGGAGAGAGAAGUGGAAUUCCCCGGUGUAGUGGUGAAAUGCGUAGAUAUCAGGAGGAACACCAAUGGCGAAGGCAGCUCGCUGGGACGGUACUGACGCUGAGGCGCGAAAGCGUGGGGAGCAAACAGG